rnacentral:rRNA from 1 species
GACGAACGCUGGCGGCGUGCUUAACACAUGCAAGUCGAACGGUGAAGCGAGUGCUUGCACUCGUGGAUCAGUGGCGAACGGGUGAGUAACACGUGAGUAACCUGCCCAUCACUCUGGGAUAAGCACUGGAAACGGUGUCUAAUACUGGAUACGACCAACCCUUGCAUGGGGUGUUGGUGGAAAGAUUUAUCGGUGAUGGAUGGACUCGCAGCCUAUCAGCUUGUUGGCGGGGUAAUGGCCCACCAAGGCGACGACGGGUAGCCGGCCUGAGAGGGUGACCGGCCACACUGGGACUGAGACACGGCCCAGACUCCUACGGGAGGCAGCAGUGGGGAAUAUUGCACAAUGGGCGAAAGCCUGAUGCAGCGACGCCGCGUGAGGGAUGACGGCCUUCGGGUUGUAAACCUCUUUCAGCAGGGAAGAAGCGAAAGUGACGGUACCUGCAGAAGAAGCACCGGCUAACUACGUG